GACGAACCGUGCGAACGUUAUUCGGAAUCACUGGGCUUAAAGCGCGUGUAGGCGGAUGGGAACGUCGGUCGCUGAAAUCCCCCGGCUCAACCGGGGAACGGGCGCCGAAACGACCCGUCUGGAGGGACGUAGGGGGACCUGGAACUUCCGGUGGAGCGGUGAAAUGCGUUGAGAUCGGAAGGAACGCCCGUGGCGAAAGCGAGGUCCUGGACGUCUACUGACGCUGAGACGGCGAAAAGCUAGGGUAGCGGAACGGG
rnacentral:rRNA from 1 species